CAGACAAUAAUUUAAAAAAAAUAAUGACCUUGGACGUCAAAUAUCAGCUUCUAAGCUGUUGUCUGA
rnacentral:tRNA from 1 species